GUGGCUGAUUUAUUGCAUGCUGUGUUUAGAAAUUCAUCAGCCUUGCAAUAGUUUGCAGGUUAGGAGCUUGUAUGUCCACUCAAAAGGUCACAGAAAUAUAGCGUGUCAGAGAGAGGAGCGAAUACACAUGUAAGCUUGCACACACACACUAUUACUUUGUUCUCCUUUGUUUAUCUGAAUCUGCUAAAUGCCAACUCUAGAAUCAGUAAUUUGGUGUUCAAGCUCGAUACAAUGUCUGGUUCAAAUAUCAAUAUUUGUUGCUAUCAUCACUAAGCAUGGAUUGAUAUAUUAUGUGUCCUUUGCAUGUGGACUUUUAGUUAGUCCAUUAUUGCAUCUAAGCAUGUUUUGG
rnacentral:misc_RNA from 1 species